GUCGAGCGGACAGAUGGGAGCUUUGCUCCCUGAUGUUAGCGGCGGACGGGUGAUUAACACGUGGGUAACCUGCCUGUAAGACUGGGAUAACUCCGGGAAACCGGGGCUAAUACCGGAUGGUUGUUUGAACCGCAUGGUUCAAACAUAAAAGGUGGCUUCGGCUACCACUUACAGAUGGACCCGCGGCGCAUUAGCUAGUUGGUGAGGUAACGGCUCACCAAGGCAACGAUGCGUAGCCGACCUGAGAGGGUGAUCGGCCACACUGGGACUGAGACACGGCCCAGACUCCUACGGGAGGCAGCAGUAGGGAAUCUUCCGCAAUGGACGAAAGUCUGACGGAGCAACGCCGCGUGAGUGAUGAAGGUUUUCGGAUCGUAAAGCUCUGUUGUUAGGGAAGAACAAGUACCGUUCGAAUAGGGCGGUACCUUGACGGUACCUAACCAGAAAGCCACGGCUAACUACGUGCCAGCAGCCGCGGUAAUACGUAGGUGGCAAGCGUUGUCCGGAAUUAUUGGGCGUAAAGGGCUCGCAGGCGGUUUCUUAAGUCUGAUGUGAAAGCCCCCGGCUCAACCGGGGAGGGUCAUUGGAAACUGGGGAACUUGAGUGCAGAAGAGGAGAGUGGAAUUUCCACGUGUAGCGGUGAAAUGCGUAGAGAUGUGGAGGAAACACCAGUGGCGAAGGCGACUCUCUGGUCUGUAACUGACGCUGAGGAGCGAAAGCGUGGGGAGCG
rnacentral:rRNA from 1 species